rnacentral:rRNA from 1 species
UACAGAGGGUGCGAGCGUUAAUCGGAAUUACUGGGCGUAAAGCGCGCGUAGGCGGCUUUGCAAGUCGGGUGUGAAAUCCCCAGGCUUAACCUGGGAACUGCAUUCGAGACUGCAUUGCUAGAGUAUGGGAGAGGGAAGUGGAAUUUCCGGUGUAGCGGUGAAAUGCGUAGAUAUCGGAGGAACACCGAUGGCGAAGGCAAUCCCCUGGACCUGUACUGACGCUCAUGCACGAAAGCGUGGGGAGCAAACGAGG